GAUGAACGCUGGCGGCGUGCUUAACACAUGCAAGUCGAGCGAGUGAGUUCUUCGGAACAAUCUAGCGGCGGACGGGUGAGUAACACGUGGGCAACCUGCCUCAUAGAGGGGAAUAGCCUCCCGAAAGGGAGAUUAAUACCGCAUAAAAUUAUCGAGUGGCAUCACAUGAUAAUCAAAGGAGUAAUCCGCUAUGAGAUGGGCCCGCGGCGCAUUAGCUAGUUGGUGAGGUAACGGCUCACCAAGGCGACGAUGCGUAGCCGACCUGAGAGGGUGAUCGGCCACAUUGGGACUGAGACACGGCCCAGACUCCUACGGGAGGCAGCAGUGGGGAAUAUUGCACAAUGGGGGAAACCCUGAUGCAGCAACGCCGCGUGAGUGAUGAAGGUCCUCGGAUUGUAAAGCUCUGUCUUUGGGGACGAUAAUGACGGUACCCAAGGAGGAAGCCACGGCUAACUACGUGCCAGCCGCCGCCGUAA
rnacentral:rRNA from 1 species